rnacentral:tRNA from 2 species
AGAAAGGUAAGCUAAAAAAGCUAAUGGGUUCAUACCCCGUAAAUAGAGACAGACACUCUCCAUUCUA